rnacentral:rRNA from 1 species
GAAUUUUAUAUAUAAUUUUAUAAGUAUAUUUUUUUGAUGAUAUAGAAUUAUAUAUUUUGUUGGGAGGAUGGUUAAAUAUAGAAAACUUUAAUUAAAAUUUUAGAUAUAAAUUAAUAAAUUUUAGAGUGGUUAAUAAAUUAGUAAAGAAUUAAUUACCUUAGGGAUAACAGCGUAAUAUUUUUAGAGAGUUCAUAUUAAUAAAAGUGUUUGC